rnacentral:rRNA from 1 species
GACGAACGCUGGCGGCGUGCUUAACACAUGCAAGUCGAACGAUGAAGCCGGAGCUUGCUCUGGUGAAUUAGUGGCGAACGGGUGAGUAACACGUGAGUAACCUGCCCUUGACUCUGGGAUAACUGCGGGAAACUGUAGCUAAUACCGGAUACGACCCUCGGAGGCAUCUCCUGGGGGUGGAAAGAAUUUCGGUCAAGGAUGGACUCGCGGCCUAUCAGCUAGUUGGUGAGGUAAAGGCUCACCAAGGCGACGACGGGUAGCCGGCCUGAGAGGGGAACCGGCCACACUGGGACUGAGACACGGCCCAGACUCCUACGGGAGACAGCAGUGGGGAAUAUUGCACAAUGGGCGCAAGCCUGAUGCAGCAACGCCGCGUGAGGGAUGACGGCCUUCGGGUUGUAAACCUCUUUUAGCAGGGAAGAAGCGAAAGUGACGGUACCUGCAGAGAAAGCACCGGCUAACUACGGGCCAGCCGCCGCCGUAA